CGGGCGGGUGCCUGCCGGAAGCCUCUGAACUCUGCACGGCUCUGCUUCUCUAAGGUUUUGGAAUCCCUUUCGCACCCACCACACCCAAAUUCUGUUUCCUGCCACCAAAGGAGCUACCUCCAUGUCAAGGAACCCCCUUGCUGACUGCUCAGGGCAUGCUGCAGAGGACGGAGGGACAUGAGAUGAUAAGAGCCGGUCUAGAGGAGUGGAGUAUUGGAGGAGGUCAUUGAGAGGACAUGACUGCUGAUUGACCAGGGAACUGGACCUUGGCAAUGAGGGAACCCAGACAAGGAAAUUGAGGCUUUUUGAAAUAAGAUAAUGUGCCCAAGAUCAACAUCUGAAUUCACUUGGGUCCAUGCAAUAGCGCCUAAUGGAUUUUCCAGUCCACUCUUGAGACCCCUUUGAUUUCUUCUCUGCCUGGCA